rnacentral:rRNA from 1 species
UAUGCUUGUCUCAAAGAUUAAGCCAUGCAUGUCUAAGUAUAAGCAAUUAUACCGCGAAACUGCGAAUGGCUCAUUAUAUAAGUUAUCGUUUACUUGAUAGCACAUUACUACUUGGAUACCCGUGGUAAUUCUAGAGCUAAUACAUGCUAAAAAUCCCAACUUCGGAAGGGAUGUAUUUAUUAGAUUAAAAACCAAUGCCCUCUGGGCUUGCUGGUGAUUCAUGAUAACUUCUCGAAUCGCAUGGCCUUGCGCCGGCGAUGGUUCAUUCAAAUUUCUUCCCUAUCAACUUUCGAUGCGAAGGUAUUGUCUUCGCAUGGUUACGACGGGUAACGGAGGGUUAGGGCUCGACCCCGGAGAAGGAGCCUGAGAAACGGCUACUACAUCCAAGGAAGGCAGCAGGCGCGCAAAUUACCCAAUCCCGACACGGGGAGGUAGUGACAAUAAAUACUGAUACAGGGCUCUUUUGGGUCUUGUAAUUGGAAUGAGUACAAUUUAAAUCCCUUAACGAGGAACAAUUGGAGGGCAAGUCUGGUGCCAGCAGCCGCGGUAAUUCCAGCUCCAAUAGCGUAUAUUAAAGUUGUUGUGGUUAAAAAGCUCGUAGUUGAACCUUGGGCCUGGCUGGCCGGUCCCCCUCACCGGGUGCACUGAUCCAGCCGGGUCUUUCCCUCUGUGGAACCCCAUGGCCUUCACUGGUCGUGGCGGGGAAACAGGACUUUUACUUUGAAAAAAUUAGAGUGCUCCAGGCAGGCCUAUGCUCGAAUACAUUAGCAUGGAAUAAUGGAAUAGGACGUGUGGUUCUAUUUUGUUGGUUUCUAGGACCGCCGUAAUGAUUAAUAGGGACAGUCGGGGGCAUCAGUAUUCAAUUGUCAGAGGUGAAAUUCUUGGAUCUAUUGAAGACUAACUACUGCGAAAGCAUUUGCCAAGGAUGUUUUCAUUGAUAAGGAACGAAAGUUAGGGGAUCGAAGACGAUCAGAUACCGUCGUAGUCUUAACUAUAAACUAUGCCGACUAGGGAUCGGACGAUGUUAUUUUUUGACUCGUUCGGCACCUUUCGAGAAAUCAAAGUGCUUGGGCUCCAGGGGGAGUAUGGUCGCAAGGCUGAAACUUAAAGGAAUU